rnacentral:misc_RNA from 1 species
GAUGAAGAACGUAGCGAAAUGCGAUACGUAAUGUGAAUUGCAGAAUUCAGUGAAUCAUCGAAUCUUUGAACGCAUAUUGCGCUCUCUGGUAUUCCGGAGAGCAUGCUUGUUUGAGUAUCAGUAAACACCUCAACUUCCAUAUCUUUUUUUGAAAUGGGAGUUGGACUUGAGUGAUCCCAACGCUUUUCCUCACCGAAAAGUGGCGGGUUACUUGAAAUGCAGGUGCAGCUGGACUUUUCUCUGAGCUAUAAGCAUAUCUAUUUAGUCUGCCUAAAAAACAGAUUAUUACCUUUGCUGCAGCUAACAUAAAGGAGAUUAGUUCUUGUGCUGACUGAUGCAGGAUUCACAAAGACAGCUUCGGCCGACUUUGUAAACUCGAUCUCAAAUCAAGUAAGACUACCCGCUGAACUUAAGCAUAUCAUAAGCGGAGG